rnacentral:pre_miRNA from 1 species
UGGCAAAAACGGUUAAGUAUGUCUAAUGCAUUCAAGUGUGAUAUGAGUCGUAUUACACUUAAAUAUAUUAGACAUACUUAAUCGUUUUUGUGA